rnacentral:lncRNA from 14 species
AGCUGACCGCCUGUCUUCGUGUGAGUUCAGUGAGAAGCCAGGUCCAGCUUAGGAACAGGUAAGCAGAGAGUUCUUUGGAAAUGCUACAGCAUGAGGCAGCUUGGAGUCACCAUGUGGCAUUUCCAAAGGUUCGUGCUCUUGGCUUUGCUCUGGAGAUCAUUGCAGUUCUUCAUGUGGUUCUGUAGGAGUCCACUGAAAGUGCCUGUUGGGUUCAUUAGGUGCUCCAUGGCAAGAGGCAACAGAGUUAAUGAAAGCUCUGGAGAUGCUGCUGGGGAAUGCUCUGUACAAGAGUGCAUCCUUGAAGCGAGCUGUGGAGCAGAAGGUCCAAGGGCAGGAUGUGGUGGCAGCUGUGCCCUCCCUGGACAGCCUGGCCAGUGGAGGUAAAUCAGGAGGAAUGGAAGGGCAGGGUCAUGAGCUGCCUCAGCAGUGGGAGCUCUUCACUGCGAACAAUGUUUUUUUCAGCUUCCCUGGGCAUGAAGAACAAGGUAAAGGCAAUGACUUCUUGUCCUGGGUUUGGCUGGGAUAGAGUUAGUGCUCUUCCUAUGCUGUGCUUUGAAUUUAGUGUGGGAAUAACGCUGGUAACACACCGAUGGUUUAGUUGUUGCUCUGUAGCACUUACUCAGUGGCAAGAACAUCUGUGUUCCAUGCCCUGCCAGUGAGGAGCACGAGAAGCCAGGAGGUAGCAGAGCCAGAACCUGAAUUAGCCCAAGGGAUAUUCCAUACCAUGGAACAUCAUGCUCAGGAUAGAAACUGGGG